rnacentral:misc_RNA from 1 species
GAUGAAGAACGCAGCGAAAUGCGAUACGUAAUGUGAAUUACAGAAUUCAGUGAAUCAUCGAAUCUUUGAACGCACAUUGCACUCCUUGGUAUUCCGAGGAGUAUGCCUGUUUCAGUAUCAUGAGCACUCUCACAUCUAACCUUUGGGUUAAAAUGUGGAAUUGGGAUGCGCCGGUUAUUAUAACGGCCCUCCUAAAAUUCAGUUCUUGGCUGCUUCCUACUACAGCAGUUUGGCCUAAUAGUUUUGAGUCUUCGAUUCAAAUCUUUGGCUAACAUUUGCUUCAGGAUGUCAGUCUUGAUAUACAGAAAUCUCAUUCAAACUUUGAUCUGAAAUCAGGUAGGGCUACCCGCUGAACUUAAGCAUAUCAAUAAGCGGAGGA